rnacentral:rRNA from 1 species
UACGUAGGGGGCAAGCGUUGUCCGGAAUCAUUGGGCGUAAAGCGCGUGUAGGCGGCUGACUAAGUCCGCUCUGAAAGCCCGGGGCUCAACCCCGGGAGGCGGGUGGAUACUGGUCAGCUCGAGUCCGGAAGAGGAGUGUGGAAUUCCUGGUGUAGCGGUGAAAUGCGCAGAUAUCAGGAGGAACACCGAUGGCGAAGGCAGCUCGCUGGGACGGUACUGACGCUGAGGCGCGAAAGCGUGGGGAGCAAACAGG